rnacentral:lncRNA from 1 species
CUCCAGGUGAAGGCAGAGGAACACAAAAGCAAGUGGAAAGGCAAUGUUAUACGACAAAUAAGAUGGCUACAGAAAAAGAAAUAAAGGACAUGCAUUUCAAGUUUGUAUGCGGGUUACAUUUGAGCCUUGAAGAUGACAGAUCCUAUUCUUACAGAACUUCUUAUAAAUUUCAUUCACUUGUGGCAAGUUUAUCUUAUGUGAGUUUGUAAAUUAAAUUUACUCCUCUACUGCAAAAGAUUCCCUUUCAAAAUAAUGCAAUAAUUAUUUAUGUUAAUAUUCACUGUGUAAACAUUUAUUGAACACCACCCCCCAUGAUGUGCCAAACACCACACUAGAAAACAAGAAGACAAAAGAAAUGAAGAGUUUUGAGCUAAAUUAAUCCACAAUACAAUCAUUUUCAGUGUACCAACUAACCAGAUAUAAGACAUGGAUGUGCCUUCAGGACACAGGUGACCUGACAGCAAGGAGAGGCAUAUAUGUGAAACAGUAAGGAGCAAUAUAAAAUAUUGUAAUUAACAGUAAAAC